rnacentral:misc_RNA from 1 species
GAUGAAGAACGUAGCGAAAUGCGAUAAGUAAUGUGAAUUGCAGAAUUCAGUGAAUCAUCGAAUCUUUGAACGCACAUUGCGUCCGCUAGUAUUCUGGCGGGCAUGCCUGUCCGAGCGUCAUUUCAACCCUCAAGCCCCCGGGCUUGGUGUUGGGGAUCGGCGAGCCUCCGCGCCCGCCGUCCCCUAAAUCUAGUGGCGGUCUCGCUGUAGCUUCCUCUGCGUAGUAGCACACCUCGCACUGGGAAACAGCGCGGCCACGCCGUUAAACCCCCAACUUCUGAACGUUUGACCUCGGAUCAGGUAGGAAUACCCGCUGAACUUAAGCAUAUCAAUAAGCGGAGGA